rnacentral:lncRNA from 1 species
GUGCAAAGGAAAUGAAGGGAGAAGCAGAAGGAACGGAAAAAGGUUCCUAAACUGAGCUUGGAAGGAAGAGGAAAGAGCUGCAGAGGCGGAGACUCUGACCCCAAAGCGAUCGAGGGCCCUCCCCUGGCUUCCGUGUCCCUGUGGCAGGCGGUGGUGGUCGAAAUCUCUGCCCCUCAGAGUCCUGGGGAGGAUGGAUGGAACAGGAGGAGCAUCAUGAGAAGGCUUCCUGUAAACUACGGAGGGUGAGGGGACGGAGCGUGAGGGAACGUCGUGAGAUGGUGCUCGUGGAAGCCAGCAGAGGGUGUAGGGUCUCCUGGAGCCACAUCUCUGGAGUUACAUGAAGUUGUGGACCUCUCAACAUGGGUUCUGGGAACUGAACCCAGGUCCUCUGGAAGGACAUCGAGUGCUCUUAACCACUGAGCCAUCUCUGCAGCCUAACCCCAUCCCUUGGAGGCUGAAGCAAAGCAAGUUCAAUGACCGUGCGACCUGGCUCUUGUUUGGGCCUAAGGAAAAGCCGACUGUAAGCCGGGAAGCAUCUCUGGCAAGAACAAGGAAGGAUUAAGCACGUCUGUGGUUGUGCGCAGGGAUCACAAGGUGCUCCUGCAGUGGGAAGAGCCACCACUAGGGGCGCUCCAAGUCUUGUAUUUUCUACCUUGAAAACUCGUUUCCCUGUGGCUGCCCUCCAAAUCCAACGGAGAUGAAUGGCUUUUAGUUUACCUAGCUGAUUUAAUAAACUUUAAAAAUAAAUGUACGAAUG